UUAGAACUGAAGAUGGAGAAUAGUAGGUAAGAGUACGUGAAAAGAGAGGAACCGCCUUGGGCUGAAAGCGGUCUGCACGGUAUCUUAUCCGAAUGAACACUCCGAAGGUUUCCCGCUGAAAGCUUAUUUUCGGAGCAAUUAGGCGGCGGACGUGAACCUGCGUUAAAGGAAUGAAAGCGGGAACUGCCAGGCAGUUCCAACUAGGGUGGCACCACGGGUAUAACUCUCGUCCCUACU
rnacentral:ncRNA from 1 species